AGCUCUCUCUCAGUAGUUCAAGUUCAUCCCUGUUUGGCAUCUGUUGGGAUUUUGAGUGUGGCUGGGAACUAGAAGGUCCAUCUGACCAGUUGGACUGACUUCUGUUUGGGGUUUUUUUGCAUUUUUUGGAAGGUGACAAAUCCAAAGCUGGUUUCGCAACUAACUUUUGACGGAAGCAGCGACUUUAAAGACUUGGGUCUUGAACCAGCCCGGCUCUUCCGUUGGUUUUGACCCACCUCACAACAAAUCAGCAGACAUGAUCAUCAGACUGGGCAGACUGACACCUGGAUACUUCCGCCUCCUCCAGAGGCAAGUAGCAGGUGAGGUGCAGACGCAGCCACAGGACCGGGCCGUCAACCAGAUAGCCAUGAUGCUGGCCAUCAUGGGCCUGAGUUUGUCCUACUAUAGUGCCAAACAGAUGACGGAGAAGGUCCAACCCCAGCCUGCACCCUGAAGUGACUUGAAACACUCUGAUCGUGGAGGCGAUGGAUGAACCAAUGAGAAGUGAAGGAGGUGGAGCGAGGCGGCAGAAGUGGAGACGCAGCAGCGUCUCUCGGGAUUCAGCACUUUUCUCACCUCACAGUCAUACUCGGACACUGAAUUUCUGGGAUCCCUCAAUCACCAUCCGAAAAGCUUUCAGGACUGCAAUUAAGUGUUUUCUAUAUGUUCUGUCGCCAGGACCUUCAGGGAUUUGUGGGGAUGACUCACUCUGGGUCGUGGAUAGAACUGAUUUUCUUUAAUGGACUGGUUCGGGUGGGUGAUCAAAGCCAGCUAACUGGGUCUGAACUUUAGUCAUUACAAUGGUACAUGCUUGCAAGAUGCCAUUUUCUAGAUUAUAUAAAGGAAAACAAACUGUGAAAAAAGCAAGUAGAGUUAAAUUACAUGCACAGUAAUGCCUAUUUAAGGGAUGGCAGACUGCCAUUGAGAUGUACCUUGUAACGAAGUGACGGCAGGCCCAGAAAGCGGUUAAAGAGGAUUAGAAGUGAGCUCAACCCUUUGUUUUUUUUUUUUUUGUUUGUUUGUUUUUCCUUCAGCAAGACAAUCUUCCAGAGCCUUCUGAACAGGUUAAGAGCUGUAUUUAACAAUAUACGAACGCACGCACGCACACGCACACACUCACACACAAACACAAACAAGUGAACUGUACUUGUCAGGUGUCUGCGAUUCAGUGAAUAUUUGCACAAAACUGCAGGAUUAUUUUUAAAUACUACAGUUAAUUUGCAAAGGGACUUACUCACUUUUUUUUUUUCUUGUGAUUUCACUGUUUUAGCAUUUAAUGGUGAAGUCCUGUAUGUGUGACUACCGUGAUAUGGACCCAGGUUAAGAACCCUUUCCUGCGGUAUGUUAAUGCAAACAUUUAACUUUACUGAAUUGCAUGGGUGUGACCUUUAAUCAAUUCACGUGUCUGUCUUGUUUUUAUUGAUGAAUGAAUAUAUUACUUUAUUUUGUAAUGAUUUAAUAAAGCUGUGAAUAUUUUGAAAGAUA